AUCUGAUCUCAAAUCAGGUAGGACUACCCGCUGAACUUAAGCAUAUCAAUAA
rnacentral:rRNA from 1 species